CCUACGGGGGGCAGCAGUGAGGAAUAUUGGUCAAUGGGCUUACGCCUGAACCAGCCAAGUCGCGUGAGGGAAGACUGCACUAUGGGUUGUAAACCUCUUUUGUCAGGGAGCAAUUGGCGCUACGUGUAGCGUUAUCGAGAGUACCUGAAGAAAAAGCAUCGGCUAACUCCGUGCCAACAGCCGCGGUAAUACGGGCGAUGCGAGCGUUAUCCGGAUUUAUUGGGUUUAAAGGGUGCGUAGGCGGAAUGCAAAGUCAGCGGUCAAAUCGCGGGGAUCAAACUGGCUCCGCCGUUGACACUGGCGUUCUUGAGUGGGCGAGAAGUAUGCGGAAUGCGUGGUGUAGCGGUGAAAUGCAUAGAUAUCACGCAGAACUCCGAUUGCGAAGUCAGCAUACCGGCGCCCAACUGACGCUGAAGCACGAAAGCGUGGGUAUCGAACAGGAUUAGAUACCCGGGUAGUC
rnacentral:rRNA from 1 species